rnacentral:rRNA from 1 species
GUGCCAGCAGCCGCGGUAAAACGUAGGUGGCUAGCGUUAUCCGGAUUUACUGGGCGUAAAGCGCGUGCAGGCGGCCUAGCAAGUCGGGCAUGAAAUCUCCCGGCCUAACCGGGAGACGCUGUCCGAUACUGUUGGGCUUGAGGGCAGUAGAGGGUGGUGGAAUUCCGCAUGUAGUGGUGAAAUGCGUAGAUAUGCGGAGGAACACCAGUGGCGAAAGCGGCCACCUGGACUGCACCUGACGCUGAAGCGCGAAAGCUAGGGGAGCGAACGGGAUUAGAUACCCGCGUAGUCC